AAUUCGGUGGUCUAAUUGGUUAGAACAUCCGCCUCGGAUGCGUGAGGUCCUAGGUUAGAACCCUGGACGAGUCA